CUGCUGCCAAUUAAGCCUACCAUUCUCCUUUGUUCAUGAGGAACGUGAUGUGCGGUGACUGUGAACAUCAGCCUCUUCAGGAGUGUACACAGGCUGUCAUUGUCAUUACCAUAGGGAACCUCCAAGACAGAU